rnacentral:rRNA from 1 species
UGUGGUGUACUUGCCAAAGCCGUCAAACGCAUACACAUUUCGAACAUGCUAGUUAAAGGCUUUGGGGCUUGUUGUACUUGAAAAGGGAGACCAAGCUGGCGCCAGGG